GAUGAACGCUGGCGGCGUGCCUAAUACAUGCAAGUCGAACGAAACUUCUUUAUCACCGAGUGCUUGCACUCACCGAUAAAGAGUUGAGUGGCGAACGGGUGAGUAACACGUGGGCAACCUGCCCAAAAGAGGGGGAUAACACUUGGAAACAGGUGCUAAUACCGCAUAACCAUAGUUACCGCAUGGUAACUAUGUAAAAGGUGGCUAUACUACCGCUUUUGGAUGGGCCCGCGGCGCAUUAGCUAGUUGGUAGGGUAAAGGCUUACCAAGGCAAUGAUGCGUAGCCGAAUUGAGAGGUUGAUCGGCCACAUUGGGACUGAGUCACGGCCCAAACUCCUACGGGAGGCAGCAGUAGGGAAUCUUCCACAAUGGGCGAAAGCCUGAUGGAGCAACGCCGCGUGGGUGAAGAAGGUCUUCGGAUCGUAAAACCCUGUUGUUAGAGAAGAAAGUGCGUGAGAGUAACUGUUCACGUUUCGACGGUAUCUAACCAGAAAGCCACGGCUAACUACGUG
rnacentral:rRNA from 1 species